rnacentral:rRNA from 1 species
GGGUUGUGAGGUUAAGCGACUAAGCGUACACGGUGGAUGCCCUGGCAGUCAGAGGCGAUGAAGGGCGUGCUAAUCUGCGAUAAGCGCCGGUAAGGUGAUAUGAACCGUUAUAACCGGCGAUACCCGAAUGGGGAAACCCAGUGUGACUCGUCACACUAUCAUUAACUGAAUCCAUAGGUUAAUGAGGCGAACCGGGGGAACUGAAACAUCUAAGUACCCCGAGGAAAAGAAAUCAACCGAGAUUCCCCCAGUAGCGGCGAGCGAACGGGGAGGAGCCCAGAGCCUGAAUCAGCAUGUGUGUUAGUGGAAGCGUCUGGAAAGGCGCGCGAUACAGGGUGACAGCCCCGUACACAAAAGCGUAUGUGCUGUGAGCUCGAUGAGUAGGGCGGGACACGUGGUAUCCUGUCUGAAUAUGGGGGGACCAUCCUCCAAGGCUAAAUACUCCUGACUGACCGAUAGUGAACCAGUACCGUGAGGGAAAGGCGAAAAGAACCCCGGCGAGGGGAGUGAAAAAGAACCUGAAACCGUGUACGUACAAGCAGUGGGAGCACCCUUUGGGGUGUGACUGCGUACCUUUUGUAUAAUGGGUCAGCGACUUAUAUUCUGUAGCAAGGUUAACCGAAUAGGGGAGCCGGAGGGAAACCGAGUCUUAAUUGGGCGUUAAGUUGCAGGGUAUAGACCCGAAACCCGGUGAUCUAGCCAUGGGCAGGUUGAAGGUUGGGUAACACUAACUGGAGGACCGAACCGACUAAUGUUGAAAAAUUAGCGGAUGACCUGUGGCUGGGGGUGAAAGGCCAAUCAAACCGGGAGAUAGCUGGUUCUCCCCGAAAGCUAUUUAGGUAGCGCCUCGUGAAUUCAUCUCCGGGGGUAGAGCACUGUUUCGGCUAGGGGGUCAUCCCGACUUACCAACCCGAUGCAAACUGCGAAUACCGGAGAAUGUUAUCACGGGAGACACACGGCGGGUGCUAACGUCCGUCGUGAAGAGGGAAACAACCCAGACCGCCAGCUAAGGUCCCAAAGUCAUGGUUAAGUGGGAAACGAUGUGGGAAGGCCCAGACAGCCAGGAUGUUGGCUUAGAAGCAGCCAUCAUUUAAAGAAAGCGUAAUAGCUCACUGGUCGAGUCGGCCUGCGCGGAAGAUGUAACGGGGCUAAACCAUGCACCGAAGCUGCGGCAGCGACACUCAGGUGU